rnacentral:rRNA from 1 species
GAACCUUAUCGGUCUCGCGAAUGCAUCUCAGAUUAGUUUUGAUCAUGGCUCAGAUUGAACGCUAGCGGGAUGCCUUACACAUGCAAGUCGAACGGCAGCACGGACUUCGGUCUGGUGGCGAGUGGCGAACGGGUGAGUAAUGUAUCGGAACGUGCCCAGUAGCGGGGGAUAACUACGCGAAAGCGUAGCUAAUACCGCAUACGCCCUACGUGGGGAAAGCAGGGGAUCGCAAGACCUUGCACUAUUGGAGCGGCCGAUAUCGGAUUAGCUAGUUGGUGGGAGUAACGGCUCACCAAGGCGACGAUCCGUAGCUUGGUUUUGACGACGGGACGGACCAGCCACAACUGGGGCACCUGAGGAACCAACGGGGGGCCCCCCAAGGAAACCGUUUCCCCUUUAACCGGGGGGGCAAAGGCGGCCCAAGGGCCAAAGAG